UACGGAGGGAGCUAGCGUUGUUCGGAAUUACUGGGCGUAAAGCGCACGUAGGCGGCUUUGUAAGUUAGGGGUGAAAGCCUGGAGCUCAACUUCAGAAUUGCCCUUAAGACUGCAUCGCUUGAAUCCAGGAGAGGUGAGUGGAAUUCCGAGUGUAGAGGUGAAAUUCGUAGAUAUUCGGAAGAACACCAGUGGCGAAGGCGGCUCACUGGUCCAUUACUGACGCUGAGGUGCGAAAGCGUGGGGAGCAAACAGG
rnacentral:rRNA from 1 species